rnacentral:lncRNA from 1 species
AAUAUCACAUAUAACUUCAUUCGUGAUCCUUUUUCUUUGAAAUCCUUCUUUUUAUCGGGUACCCUUGAAGUGUGGUACUUGACUGAUAGCAAUAGGCUUUGGUUUUCGGAACCUGUUCAUCAUAUUUGGCCAAUAGAUAAUACGGGGGUUUCCAUACCGGCCUUUCGACCUCAGGUAUUAGCCGUAUUUCAUUUCUUUAAUUGUGGGUUUUCCAUACUGGUCUUUCGACCUCAGGUAUUUGCCACCAUGUGUUGGGUCCGCCGGUCCCUCCCGCGUCCCUUGCCUACCCGACCAUCAAUCAAGUACCAUACCCCCAUUUUGAAAACAUAUUCUUUCAUAUCACUAUGACUCAUCAAUUAUUCAAACAUCAUAUAGAACACGUAGCAAAAGUCACAUUAAAGAACACAUAAUUAGGUUUUUAUGAUGAACAAAUAGAAGCUUCAACUUACCUCAAAAUCAAUAUGGUGUAUGAAGUGAAAGGAUCAGUUCUUAGAUGAGGUGUGCUACGAGACUUGAUUAGAGAUGAAUUCAAACUUCAAAACGUAGGAUUUUCAGCUAGAAAAGGUGCAGAACUUGUUCUAGCUCUACUUCUAUGAGUUCUUAUGUUUGAUGUUCUCUUAUGUAAGUAUGGAAGUGAAGAAAUAUGAAGAGAAGCUUAAGGAAAUAGGUCUGGUCGUUUUUUGGAAGAAGACAAGUGAAAUGAAGACCAAAACACAAAGUCUUCACUUAUCUAGCCAUUCCCAACAAGGCCAAAUGGAGGAUGAUGAUUGGAAGGCUUGUAUUUGCUGGAUUCUUGUGCUUCCUCCACGUUUUUAUAGCUUGAGAUAAGAUGGGGGCUGAUGCUUACUCAUUAUAAUCAACUGUAAACAAUUUGAGAAUGGUCUUGUGCAACCUAGUCAACCAACCAAUCAAAUUGCACCCUUUUGCAUACUUUUGAUUUUAGUCUAAUAUGAGCUACUUCAUGUAAUUAUAUAUGUAAUUAAUCAUAUUAAAAUGUAAUUAAAAUGCAGAAAUGCAUCUAGGACGAAUAUAUGACCGUUUAGCACAUUUUCAGACAAUUAUUCGAUCCCGUAUUAAAACACAAUUAAGGCACAUGUGUAGCAAGUAGUCGUGAUCAUGCAUCAUGAAUAAUGAAUUAUAACUGCAUGAAUUGAUGCAAUAUGCUUAUUAUUGGCCAUGUAUGGAUGAUUGGGCAUUACAAUCCUUCCCUCCUUAUAAAAUUUCGCCCUCGAAAUUUGACAUACCUAACUAUUAUGGAUAUUUGCUAUGCAUUUCUAAUGCACAAUCAUGACAAUGGCAUAUAUAUAUUAAUAAAUCAAACAAAUAGGUAAAUAAGAAGAGAGUUAACCAAGCUUCCCAGCCAAAGUAUGUUCAUAUGCCUUCUUCUGUCUUCAGAAAAGAUUUUAAACCUCCGCUCUGAUACCAAAAAUGUAACGCCCCACAACCUAACAGCAGAAUCCAAUCGGAUCACCACCAUUAAGUUAGGGAUGCUACCCUUUUAUAUAUACACUUAAACAUUAUGGUUUUAAUACAAAAAUACGUUAUAUGCUUUGAAAAGAAAUCAAACUUUGUACUUUCUCGAAAUCUGUACAUAUAUAUACAUAUUUAUUGUUUACAAAAUUAUAUUGUACAAAAACCAUAAUAGAGCGGCUAACAAAAUGAAAUCAGAGUUUCUAGCUCGGCUACAAAAAUGGCGCGAAGAAUGGCAUAUGAACAAAUAUCUGACUGGCCGCUCUUGGCUAGGUCAAUUUCUAAACAUGUACAUCAUUACCUGCAUCAUAAGAACCUAAUGGUAACGCCCCACAACCUAACUGCAGAAUCAAAUCGGAUCACCACCGUUAAGUUAGGGAUGCUAACCUUUUUAUAUAUUUACUUGAACAUUAUGGUUUUAAUACAAAAAUACGUUAUAUGCUUUGUAAAGAAAUCAAACUCUGUACUUUCCCGAAAUCUGUACAAAUAUGGAUAUAUAUUGUUUACAAAAUUACUUUGUACAAAAACCAUAAUAGAGCGGCUAGAAAAAUGAAAUCAGAGUUUCUAGCUCGGCUACAAAAAUGGCGCGAAGCAUGGCAUAUGAACAAAACUCUGUCUGGCCGCUCUUGGCUAGGUCAACUUCUAAACAUGUACAUCAUUACCUGCAUCAUAAGAACCUAAUGAGCUAAUGGCUCAGCAAGUUGAAACGGAUGUAAUAGCAAUAUAUCACAUAACACGUUAUUCAUUCAAUAUGUACAAUAUCACAUAUAACUUCAUUCGUGAUUCUUUUUCUUUGAAAUCCUUCUCUUUAUCGGGUACCCUUGAAGUGUGGUACUUAACUGAUAGCAAUAGGCUUUGGUUUUCGGAACCUGUUCAUCAUAUUUGGCCAAUAGAUAAUACGGGGUUUCCAUACCGGCCUUUCGACCUCAGGUAUUAGCCGUACUUUAUUUCAUUAAUUGUGGGUUUUCCAUACUGGUCUUUCGACCUCAGGUAUUUGCCACCAUGUGUUGGGUCCGCCGGUCCCUCCCGCGUCCCUUGCCUACCCGACCAUCAAUCAAGUACCAUACCCCCAUUUUGAAAACAUAUUCUUUCAUAUCACUAUGACUCAUCAAUUAUUCA